UUUGGACUUUUGGACUUUUGUGACUUGAACUACACCUUCAAGGUGAAAUGGUUAAAAGAAUGCUUAAAUGCACCCGACUCAUUAUGAUACUUUAUCCCACAUAACAUUUUCAAAGAAGUUGGAGGUCUCCAAUUCUUAUUGAAGUGUCACUAUAAUAUCACAAAGUUAAAACUGUCCCGAUUUUUUCAACAAGCUCUUUUAGCGUGGAAGCUGUGCUGUUCUCAUAACUUCUCUCCACACAAGUCUAUUAUAUGGAAUAAUGAAUGCAUCACCAAAAGGAACAAGUCACUUUAUUUACAAAACUGGUUUGACAGAAUUAUCAUCUUCUUAAGGGACUUAUUUGAUUGUAACGGUCAAUUAAUUUAGUAUGAGUCCUUUCUUAGAGAGAAAGCAUUCCCAAUAACAUUCAGAGAAUAUAGCUCAGUCUUUAAAUCUAUACCUAAUGGUUUAUUGGAACUAAUGAAAACCUAUAAGAAACAGCAAGAAGUGCCCAGUUUCACAUAAUCUUUAUAUAAAUAAUAUUGAUAUUUUAACAAACACAUUAGAAAAUGCUUUUUAAAUUUAAAGAAAAUAACACCUGGUGGCUAAUUCUCAGUUUUCCAAUAUUAAGUGUUGUAAAGCACGGCUUGUUCCUUUUAGAUUCUGUAUUACAAACAAAGUUAGAGAAUUACAUUUGAAAAUUUUGCAUUAAAUAUAUCCAACCAACAUGCUUAUCUCAAAAUUCAUGCUUGUUGUUAACAACUGCACCUUUUGUAGAACAGAACAAGAAACUUUAAAUCAUCUUUUCUACGACUGUUCAUUCUGCAGCACAUUCUGGAGGAACCUUGAGAAUUACAUAUAUUCUAAAACAACACAUACAAUCACAGUUGAAAGGAAAAAUGUCAUUAGCUACUUUGAAUCUAAAGAUAAGAACUUAUGCACCGUUGUGAAUCUCUUUAUUUUGUGUGGAGAAAAGUGAAGAGACUGCCAUGAAAAGUAUGGACUGAAAAGAAAAGAAAGAAAAGCUUCCAGACGACAUAGAUGUUGCUCAUCGAGUUGGAAAACCGCGACCCGAGAUCCCGCGGCAUAACCCUCAGGUUCAUCUCACGGCGGCACAGGGAGGCAGUUUGGAAGGCUGCAAAGAACAACAACUUUCUUCAAAGAAAAGGUUUGCGCUUCACGGAGGAUUUGACAAAGGAAGACGGACAGAAACUGUGGCCUACGAUCAAGAAGGCACGAGAGGAGGGGAAGUCAGCCUACUUUCUGGGAGGAAAAGGCUUUUUUAAUGGACUGGAAAUUCAUCCGUAGACAUUCUUCACGGAGAAAACUCUUCUUGAAUCUAUCGGGUUCUGAUUUAUCGAUGGGAGAAUUCUGCCUCCCCGUUUAAAAAUGUGAGGCCUUACUUCUCUCACAUAUAUGUUGAUCUGCCUGGGCGUAUUUAAUUUAUUCUUUGUUACUCAUCAGCUUCUAAAUGGGCAGAAACGCAACCAACUUUAAUUCAAGUGUUUAAUCAGAGAUGCUUUAAAUAGCCUAGGUGUUCUGAAAUUUAUCCAAACUUAACUCUUUCCUUUGUAUCACUCAAUGCUAGGGGGAUAUGUAAUAGUGUUAAACGUGAAGCUAUAUUUCUUUUUGCUAAACAGUUCAAGUCAGAUUUUUUUCUUUUUACAAGAAUCUCAUUCUCUUCCAAAUGAUGCCACUUUUUGGAGACCUCGGUGGGGUAACUCCAUAUGGCUUUCUCACGGUACAGAACGUUCAGCUGGACAGAUUUAUUGGAGAUAUCCUACUUACAAAAUGUGAUCUAGCUGGAUUCUGGAUGGUAUUUUGGAGAAAUGGCCACCUGGUCAACCAAACAGAAACAAUGCCAACUUAACAGCCUUUGCAGACAAAUUCAGGCUUGUAGAUAUUUGGAGAAAAAAAUAUUUUAACAGCAGGUCAUAUAGUUGGAGUAAUAAAACAGGCUCCAGUCAAUCAAGGAUAGAUUUUUGGUUAGUGUCGGAGACCUUUAAUAAAGAUCUUAUUGAUGUGGAAAUAUGGCCCACUCCUCUUACAGAUCAUAAGGCAAUACACAUUAAGAUAAUUUAAUACAUUUUCCAUAAUUAAAUAUGUCGCUGCUCAGUCAGCGUAUUGGAAACUCAAUAGCUCUCUACUAUUAAAUGAGGAAGUUAAAAAAGAGGUUACAUCUCUGAUUUUUUUUGGUCCAAAACUAAGGAAGAAAAAACAUUUGGAAAUAAUUGGGAACUUUUAGAAUUCGAGGUUGGUAAGUUUUUAAGAAAAUAUGGUAAAUAUGGUAAUAAAAGCCAAAUCCAGAAGAGUUGAAGAGGAAGAGGUAAUAACAAAGAUCACCUUUUUAUCUCAAAAGAACCCAGAUAUAAUUUUAGAGGAGGAAAACAGAAUUAGGUCUGCAAGUUAAACUUGAUGAUUUAUACAUUGCAAAAAGCAAAAGAUCUAGAGCAAAAUGGCUUGAAGAAGGAGAACAAAACUCACAUUAUGUUUUCAAUUUAGAAAAACAUCAUUCUAAUAAUAACAAUAUUGAUAAACUAAAUAUUAAUGAGUUGUUACAGAGGACUUCAAAGUAAUAUCAGGUACUGUGGUAACUUUUAUAGAGAUUUAUAUAGCUCCAAAUUCUGCCAAGAAUCAGCUGUGUCUUUUACGAACUCUCUGACAGUUUAAUCUAUUAAUGAAAACGAAAUGGAGUUAUGUGAUAACCCUGUCACAUUUGAAGUUAGGAAAGCAGUUAAUCUCCUAAAAAAACAACAAAUCACCAGGUACCGAUGGACCGACCUUUGAACUUUUUGUCGAAUCCAUGGAAAGAGAAUCUCUUCCAACAACCAGGACUCAAGGUCUGACCACAUAAAUUCCCAAACCAAACAAAGACAAAUGACUUAUUGACAAUUGGCGUCCAAUAUGUUUGUCUUAAUAAUGAUUAUAAGAUAUUUGCUCUACUACAGGCUAAAAGACUUAAAAUGGUACUGAACUCUGUUAUCGAAGAAACACAGUCAGGCUUCAUGACCAAAAGACAUAUAACCAAUAAUAUUAGACUUGUCCUACACGUCCUAGAUUACGCACAUUUGAUUGAUGAUAAUGGGUUUAUUUUAUUUUUAGGGUUAGUGGUUACUGUGGAGCAUCAGUUCAUCUUACAGUCUUUAAAGAAAUUCGGCUUUGGUCAUUUUUUCUGUACAGCUAUUAAAACUCUAUAUAAGAACAGCAACAGUAUAUUAAAGUUAUGGGUGGUACGUCCCCACGAUUUAAUCUGUCUAGAGGCAUUAGACAGGGUUGCCCCACUUCCCCGUACCUCUUCCUUUUAGUAGCUCAACUGUUGGCAAACCAUAUUAAAUCCAGUGCUGUGAAAGGAGUCUCUCUUAUAGGGAGAGAAUGAAUUAUAACUCAGCUGGCAGAUGACACCACAUUAUUCCUGAAAAAUGAAAAACCAAAUUUCUGUUGCAAUUGAUGUAAUCAACAUGUUUUCUAAGGCUUCUGGUUUGUAUUUGAAUGUAAGUAAGUAAGUUUGAACUUAUGGCUAUAAAAGAGUGCCUUAAAACAGCUCUUUGUAAUAUCCCAAUAAAAACGAGUUAAAAGAAA